ACGCACGCUGGCGGCAGGCUUAACACAUGCCAGUCGAACGCCCCGCACGGGGAGUGGCAGACGGGUGAGUAACGCGUGGGAACAUACCCUUUUCUACGGAAUAGCUCUGGGAAACUGGAAUUAAUACCGUAUACGCCCUACGGGGGAAAGAUUUAUCGGGGAAGGAUUGGCCCGCGUUGGAUUAGCUAGUUGGUGGGGUAAAGGCCUACCAAGGCGACGAUCCAUAGCUGGUCUGAGAGGAUGAUCAGCCACAUUGGGACUGAGACACGGCCCAAACUCCUACGGGAGGCAGCAGUGGGGAAUAUUGGACAAUGGGCGCAAGCCUGAUCCAGCCAUGCCGCGUGAGUGAUGAAGGCCUUAGGGUUGUAAAGCUCUUUCACCGAUGAAGAUAAUGACGGUAGUCGGAGAAGAAGCCCCGGCUAACUUCGUG
rnacentral:rRNA from 1 species